AUGCAAGUGUUUAACAGAUGCUUCACUAUUAAAAUAUUUCCCCCCCAAGUCUCAAAUAUUGAAGAAUCUCUAACCAGGGACACCAGUCCCUACGAAGACCUUGGGCGAUUUUGAAGUGCGGGCACCUCGAUUCCCCGAAUCUGUAGUGUGGCUGGUAUCGGUGUUCCCCUGGUUUAACUAGCCUGUUUGAAGGCACAGAUCAUUCAUGGGGAAGUAUAACCGAAACCAGUCCUCUCCACCCCCUGGGGAUCUUCACUUUCCCAGUCUACAACUGCCUGUGACUCCAGAAAGACAAACUGCAGAUUGGCCAAGAUGGGGAAAUUGAGGCAGAGAAGCCAAGACAUGCGCUAAAGGUCCAUGCAGGCUAUGAAUGGAGCUGGAAUGUAAACGCAGGCCAUGUGACUCCAGAGCCCAUGUUCUUGAACCCUUAGAAAGACAGCAGCAACACACCUGGUGCAGCAGCUGCUUAGUUGGAGUGGCUGACAAGGAGAGAAUGAUUUCCAGGAAGAGCGGAACACAUAUGGAAGGCCUUAGCUUAUCUUUAGCGCCUCAUACACCCGUUCUGGACUUCAGAAAGGCCAGUGAGUGGGAUUAGGCCUCAGAGAUAGGAUGUCAGUCCCAGUGAGGGAUGGCCUAGAGCAUUCUUUAAUUCUUUCCUUUGGGUCACACAUAAGAAACAAUUUUCCAGCACUGAUGAGUGUUAUUAACAAUGAGAUGGGAUAGAAUUUUGUUUUCCCUAUGGCUGUGCUUCAAGAAUAGAAAAGCUGUCUUUUCUCUGGAAUGAUUGAAUGAAGCUCUGGGGAGGGAAAGGUCGAUUGGCAGAUCUCUUAAAGGAAGCUUCUCCUUCUAGGCACUAUUCCAAGGCUUAAUAUUUUAACUCCCUAUAUUAACCUAGUUCAACUAAACAGUGAUCUGAGUAAUUUUAUUUUUAUUAAAGCUCAGAUCAAAAUGCCAUUAACAUUGAUUGAGAAAAUCAAAGGAAUCUUUGACGUGAGUGGUUAAAUUACUGAAUUAUUUCAGUCCCAUACCCUCACAGCAUGAGUACCUGAUCUGAUAGACUUCUUUGGAAUUCCUUUUUUGUUUGAGACAGAGUCUUGCUCUGUCGCCCAGGCUGGAGUGCAGCGGUGUGAUCUCAACCAUUGCAACCUCCACCUCCCAGGUUCAAGUGAUUCUCAUGCCUCAGCCUCCUGAGUAGCUGGGAUUACAGAUGUGCACCACCAUGCCUGGCUAAUUAUUUUGUAUCUUUAGUAGAGAUGAAGUUUUGCCAUGUGGGCCAGGCUGUUCUCAAACUACUGGCCUCAAGUGAUCUGCCCGCCUCGGCCUCCCAAACUGCUGGGAUUACAGGCGUGAGGCACCGUGCCUGGCUGGGAUUCCAUAAUAAAUCCCUGUGUGUCUAUUUCUUUUUUCAAAUAUAAUUUUCUUCAUUUCCAAACAUCAUCUUUAAGACUCCAAGGAUUUUUCCAGGCACAGUGGCUCAUGCCUGUAAUCCCACUGCUUGGAGAGGCCAAGGUGGAAGUUCAUUUGAGGCCAGGAGUUCGAGACCAGGUGGGCAACAUAGUGAAACCUUGUUUCUACAACAU
rnacentral:antisense_RNA from 1 species